GAUGAAGAACGUAGCGAAAUGCGAUAAGUAAUGUGAAUUGCAGAAUUCAGUGAAUCAUCGAAUCUUUGAACGCGCAUUGCGCCCGCCAGUAUUCUGGCGGGCAUGCCUGUUCGAGCGUCAUUACAACCCUCAGGCCCCCGGGCCUGGCGUUGGGGAUCGGCGGAGCCCCCCGUGGGCACACGCCGUCCCCCAAAUACAGUGGCGGUCCCGCCGCAGCUUCCAUCGCGUAGUAGCUAACACCUCGCGACUGGAGAGCGGCGCGGCCACGCCGUAAAACACCCAACUCUUCUGAAGUUGACCUCGAAUCAGGUAGGAAUACCCGCUGAACUUAAGCAUAUCAAUAAGCGGAGGA
rnacentral:misc_RNA from 1 species